AGAGUUUGAUCCUGGCUCAGGAUGAACGCUAGCUACAGGCUUAACACAUGCAAGUCGAGGGGCAGCAUGGUCUUAGCUUGCUAAGGCCGAUGGCGACCGGCGCACGGGUGAGUAACACGUAUCCAACCUGCCGUCUACUCUUGGACAGCCUUCUGAAAGGAAGAUUAAUACAAGAUGGCAUCAUGAGUCCACAUGUUCACAUGAUUAAAGGUAUUCCGGUAGACGAUGGGGAUGCGUUCCAUUAGAUAGUAGGCGGGGUAACGGCCCACCUAGUCUUCGAUGGAUAGGGGUUCUGAGAGGAAGGUCCCCCACAUUGGAACUGAGACACGGUCCAAACUCCUACGGGAGGCAGCAGUGAGGAAUAUUGGUCAAUGGGCGAGAGCCUGAACCAGCCAAGUAGCGUGAAGGAUGACUGCCCUAUGGGUUGUAAACUUCUUUUAUAAAGGAAUAAAGUCGGGUAUGCAUACCCGUUUGCAUGUACUUUAUGAAUAAGGAUCGGCUAACUCCGUGCCAGCAGCCGCGGUAAUACGGAGGAUCCGAGCGUUAUCCGGAUUUAUUGGGUUUAAAGGGAGCGUAGAUGGAUGUUUAAGUCAGUUGUGAAAGUUUGCGGCUCAACCGUAAAAUUGCAGUUGAUACUGGAUAUCUUGAGUGCAGUUGAGGCAGGCGGAAUUCGUGGUGUAGCGGUGAAAUGCUUAGAUAUCACGAAGAACUCCGAUUGCGAAGGCAGCCUGCUAAGCUGCAACUGACAUUGAGGCUCGAAAGUGUGGGUAUCAAACAGGAUUAGAUACCCUGGUAGUCCACACGGUAAACGAUGAAUACUCGCUGUUUGCGAUAUACAGCAAGCGGCCAAGCGAAAGCGUUAAGUAUUCCACCUGGGGAGUACGCCGGCAACGGUGAAACUCAAAGGAAUUGACGGGGGCCCGCACAAGCGGAGGAACAUGUGGUUUAAUUCGAUGAUACGCGAGGAACCUUACCCGGGCUUAAAUUGCAGAUGAAUUACGGUGAAAGCCGUAAGCCGCAAGGCAUCUGUGAAGGUGCUGCAUGGUUGUCGUCAGCUCGUGCCGUGAGGUGUCGGCUUAAGUGCCAUAACGAGCGCAACCCUUGUUGUCAGUUACUAACAGGUCAUGCUGAGGACUCUGACAAGACUGCCAUCGUAAGAUGUGAGGAAGGUGGGGAUGACGUCAAAUCAGCACGGCCCUUACGUCCGGGGCUACACACGUGUUACAAUGGGGGGUACAGAGGGCCGCUACCACGCGAGUGGAUGCCAAUCCCAAAAACCUCUCUCAGUUCGGACUGGAGUCUGCAACCCGACUCCACGAAGCUGGAUUCGCUAGUAAUCGCGCAUCAGCCACGGCGCGGUGAAUACGUUCCCGGGCCUUGCACACACCGCCCGUCA
rnacentral:rRNA from 1 species